AGGAUCUUUUGCAAAGGAGAUGGCGAUUAGACAAAGGGACAAGUUGAGUCCUAUCGUUUGGUGGGAAAAACAUGGAAGCUCUACACCUGAGCUUACAAAGCUUGCAAAGCGCUUACUUGGUCUUUGUUGUUCAUCUUCUGGUUGUGAGUGCAAUUAGAGCAUAUUUGAGUUUGUAAGUAAUUGAGUAUUUCAGUACUAAGUCCACUAGAACAUGUA